AGUGAACGCUGGCGGUAGGCCUAACACAUGCAAGUCGAACGGCAGCACAGUAAGAGCUUGCUCUUACGGGUGGCGAGUGGCGGACGGGUGAGGAAUACAUCGGAAUCUACUUUUUCGUGGGGGAUAACGUAGGGAAACUUACGCUAAUACCGCAUACGACCUACGGGUGAAAGCAGGGGAUCUUCGGACCUUGCGCGAUUGAAUGAGCCGAUGUCGGAUUAGCUAGUUGGCGGGGUAAAGGCCCACCAAGGCGACGAUCCGUAGCUGGUCUGAGAGGAUGAUCAGCCACACUGGAACUGCGACACGGUCCAGACCCCUACGGGAGGCAGCAGUGGGGAAUAUUGGACAAUGGGCGCAAGCCUGAUCCAGCCAUACCGCGUGGGUGAAGAAGGCCUUCGGGUUGUAAAGCCCUUUUGUUGGGAAAGAAAAGCAGCAGGUUAAUACCCCGCUGUUCUGACGGUACCCAAAGAAUAAGCACCGGCUAACUUCGUG
rnacentral:rRNA from 1 species